UCUCUGUGAAGGAGAGAGGUGCUGAUGGUUGAGUUGGUCACCUAUGGCCACUGAUGCAACCAAUCUGCCUGUGUAACAAAGGACAGGGUUAGGAGAGCGUCUGUGUUGCUGAAUAUGGGGAGAUGCUGGGGGAAUCAUAUCUGGAAAGGGCAUGGGAGGCCUGCACCUCUUCCACAUACCUCACCUUGUGCAUCUCUUCAUCUGGUUGUUCACUUGUAGCCUUUAAAAUAUCCUUGGUAAUAAGUCAGCAAUGGUAAGUAUACUGUUUUUAUGGGUUCUGUAAUGUGCUGUAGUAAAUUGCUGAACCCAAUAAGGGUGUUGUGAGAGCCUCCAAUCUGUAGCCAAGUCAGGCAGAAGGUAACCUGGGAACCUACUAUUUGUGAUUGGCAUCUUA